UGUAUAGAGGAGGAGGUGUAGAGAGACAGAGAAAGUCGGGUUGUGAAUGCUAUAAGGAUAAUGUUAAACCACCUCCCCAACAGAGAAAGGAAACAGUAGGUCUGCCACCCUAUAAUGGUCCUGGGAGGUGGACCUGCAGAGUCUGCGGGACCCAGAACCCAGAUGAGAGAGAGAGAGUUGUGCUGUGUGUGGCACUCUUCGUACACACCACACAAGAAGGUCGUAUUAUGCGUUGCAUGGAUCACAGUCCGUCCCCCACAGACACCCAUGUUUUUGUCAUUAGGAUGACACAGGUAAGGGGGGAAAGUUAGAUCAAGAUUAGGAAACAGGCAAUCCAGUACCGGUUGAUAAACAAUGUUGAAUUUAUUGUAUGACGACGCGUUUCGGGGUACAACUGUCCCCUUAAUCAAGUCUGGAUUGAAGUCAGCUGGAGGGCUGACACAGCCGCUGGCUGUCUGGCACGUGGAGGAUUCUGACAGUCGCUGGCUGUGUGGCUCCCGCCCUAGGCGAUUGGACAAGUUCAGGCUGCACCAACCGUUGACUGCAACCCUAAAAGACUGUGGAGGACAUCCCUUUGCCCAGAAACAUGAAUGCACUGAGGACAUCAUUUUUAGGCCCUGUUUCUUAUUGCAGACCGUGGAUACAUGUUGAUAAAGCACCAGGAACCCACCCACUUGUGUCUGGAGAUUGGGUGGUGGUAAAAAGACACUUUAGAAAGUAUCCUCAAAUCCUGAUUUGAUGGUCCAUUCCAAGUGUUGUUGACCACAAGCACAUCAGUGAAGCUUGAAGAAAAGCCAAAUUUUAGUCAUUUCAAGAAAGUAUUGAGUCGAGAGACUUGAAAGGAUGUUUCUUGUCCCCCCUUGUGUGACUGCUGAUCCUGACUAAAAGAAUAUGGAUUCUUAUUGAGAUAGUAAAAAUAGGUUUCUGGGAUGGGGAAGAGGUGUGCAAAAGGAAGAACAAAGUUGUUACAGUCCGAUACUUCUAGCCCAGUGACCCAUUAAUAGUAUAGCCCAAAGACUCCCAGUAUUGAUAGUUCUUAUAUUCACACUAAUCAAUGACCAGGUCAUGAAUGCCCUAAAAGGACUUACUUCCUAUUCCUGAAUUUUAGCUUUAUUUCUGCUAUUUGCAUUCAUUGUUUGUUGUGUCAUCCCCUACAUUAGGAGGUUCUUGUUCAAAGUCGUAGCCCAUAAGGAUGGGAGACCUCCAUGAGGAUGGAAGACACUUAGAUCUGUUAGUCCACCCCCUGCUUACAAUGCCAUCUGGAGAUCAUCGACCAGAUGACUUUCCCAUACUAAGUCUAGUGUCAUGGGAGGCUAUAUACUAGGUUAGGUUGUCAUGGAAGCUGGCGCUGAGGAUUUGAAGCAUGGGGACAGAUGUGCUAGGCUUUCAUUAGGGAAAGAAUGAGGUCCAAGGGGGGACUGAUAGAGAUGUAGACUACAUUUGAACUCAGCUAAGAAAGCUCCCACAUACUUUAGCUCUAAGACAACACCUUAUCUUCUCCAGAGCACAAAGGUUCCACCCUACCCAAGAGAACACGCCUCCUUGCCACGUCAUAUAUGCUGUUAUGCUGUUACUGAAAACUCCAUUACAAGAUGGCGCCUAUAGCUAGAUAUUUACAUAGUUCACAUACCACAGUUAGUAAAACAAUGCAGAAUGGGCAGAUGCUAAGUGUUAUCUCUUUUCUUAUUUUAA